AUGCAGUCGAGGGGCAGCAUGAACUUAGCUUGCUAAGUUUGAUGGCGACCGGCGCACGGGUGAGUAACACGUAUCCAACCUGCCGAUGACUCGGGGAUAGCCUUUCGAAAGAAAGAUUAAUACCCGAUGGCAUAAUUCUUCCGCAUGGUAGAACUAUUAAAGAAUUUCGGUCAUCGAUGGGGAUGCGUUCCAUUAGGUUGUUGGCGGGGUAACGGCCCACCAAGCCUUCGAUGGAUAGGGGUUCUGAGAGGAAGGUCCCCCACAUUGGAACUGAGACACGGUCCAAACUCCUACGGGAGGCAGCAGUGAGGAAUAUUGGUCAAUGGACGAGAGUCUGAACCAGCCAAGUAGCGUGAAGGAUGACUGCCCUAUGGGUUGUAAACUUCUUUUAUACGGGAAUAAAGUGAGGCACGUGUGCCUUUUUGUAUGUACCGUAUGAAUAAGGAUCGGCUAACUCCGUGCCAGCAGCCGCGGUAAUACGGAGGAUCCGAGCGUUAUCCGGAUUUAUUGGGUUUAAAGGGAGCGUAGGCGGACGCUUAAGUCAGUUGUGAAAGUUUGCGGCUCAACCGUAAAAUUGCAGUUGAUACUGGGUGUCUUGAGUACAGUAGAGGCAGGCGGAAUUCGUGGUGUAGCGGUGAAAUGCUUAGAUAUCACG
rnacentral:rRNA from 1 species